UACGGGGGGGGCAAGCGUUGUCCGGAAUUAUUGGGUGUAAAGAGCUCGUAGGCGGCCUGUUGCGUCCGCUGUGAAAUCCCGGGGCUUAACCCCGGGCGUGCAGUGGAUACGGGCUGGCUGGAGGCAGGCAGGGGAGAACGGAAUUCCCGGUGUAGCGGUGAAAUGCGCAGAUAUCGGGAGGAACACCGGUGGCGAAGGCGGUUCUCUGGGCCUGUACUGACGCUGAGGAGCGAAAGCGUGGGGAGCGAACAGG
rnacentral:rRNA from 1 species